rnacentral:rRNA from 1 species
GACGAACGCUGUCGGCGUGCUUAACACAUGCAAGUCGAACGGAAAGGCCCUGCUUUUGUGGGGUGCUCGAGUGGCGAACGGGUGAGUAACACGUGAGUAACCUGCCCUUGACUUUGGGAUAACUUCAGGAAACUGGGGCUAAUACCGGAUAGGAGCUCCUGCUGCAUGGUGGGGGUUGGAAAGUUUCGGCGGUUGGGGAUGGACUCGCGGCUUAUCAGCUUGUUGGUGGGGUAGUGGCUUACCAAGGCUUUGACGGGUAGCCGGCCUGAGAGGGUGACCGGCCACAUUGGGACUGAGAUACGGCCCAGACUCCUACGGGAGGCAGCAGUGGGGAAUAUUGCACAAUGGGCGGAAGCCUGAUGCAGCAACGCCGCGUGCGGGAUGACGGCCUUCGGGUUGUAAACCGCUUUCGCCUGUGACGAAGCGUGAGUGACGGUAAUGGGUAAAGAAGCACCGGCUAACUACGUGCCAGCAGCCGCGGUGAUACGUAGGGUGCGAGCGUUGUCCGGAUUUAUUGGGCGUAAAGGGCUCGUAGGUGGUUGAUCGCGUCGGAAGUGUAAUCUUGGGGCUUAACCCUGAGCGUGCUUUCGAUACGGGUUGACUUGAGGAAGGUAGGGGAGAAUGGAAUUCCUGGUGGAGCGGUGGAAUGCGCAGAUAUCAGGAGGAACACCAGUGGCGAAGGCGGUUCUCUGGGCCUUUCCUGACGCUGAGGAGCGAAAGCGUGGGGAGCGAACAGGCUUAGAUACCCUGGUAGUCCACGCUGUAAACGGUGGGUACUAGGUGUGGGGUCCAUUCCACGGGUUCCGUGCCGUAGCUAACGCUUUAAGUACCCCGCCUGGGGAGUACGGCCGCAAGGCUAAAACUCAAAGGAAUUGACGGGGCCCCGCACAAGCGGCGGAGCAUGCGGAUUAAUUCGAUGCAACGCGUAGAACCUUACCUGGGUUUGACAUGGAUCGGGAGUGCUCAGAGAUGGGUGUGCCUCUUUUGGGGUCGGUUCACAGGUGGUGCAUGCCUGUCGUCAGCUCGUGUCGUGAGAUGUUGGGUUAAGUCCCGCAACGAGCGCAACCCUUGUUCACUGUUGCCAGCACGUUAUGGUGGGGACUCAGUGGAGACCGCCGGGGUCAACUCGGAGGAAGGUGGGGAUGACGUCAAGUCCUCAUGCCCCUUAUGUCCAGGGCUUCACGCAUGCUACAAUGGCUGGUACAGAGAGUGGCGAGCCUGUGAGGGUGAGCGAAUCUCGGAAAGCCGGUCUCAGUUCGGAUUGGGGUCUGCAACUCGACCUCAUGAAGUCGGAGUCGCUAGUAAUCGCAGAUCGGCAACGCUGCGGUGAAUACGUUCCCGGG